rnacentral:rRNA from 1 species
UACGAAGGGGGCUAGCGUUGCUCGGAAUUACUGGGCGUAAAGGGCGCGUAGGCGGCGAUGUUAGUCAGGCGUGAAAGCCCUGGGCUCAACCUGGGGACUGCGCUUGAUACGGCAUGGCUAGAGGAUGGAAGAGGGUCGCGGAAUUCCCGGUGUAGCGGUGAAAUGCGUAGAGAUCGGGAGGAAGGCCGGUGGCGAAGGCGGCGCUCUGGAACGUACCUGACGCUGAGACACGAAAGCGUGGGGAGCAAACAGG